ensembl:lincRNA
ACCAAGGACCAUCACUUAGAAGACGUCCCCAACUUACAAACGAGUUCUGCCCCGGGAGAAUGUUCAUAGGUCGGAUUUUUGUGAGUCCGACAAAGUGAGUCUUGCUCAGCUUUGAGACCCAUGCACGGUGUGUGUCGCGCUGCGCUUCCCGGGUGCCCCCACACCAGCACCUCUUUCUUGUUGCUCGGGGCCGUCCUGGGCUGAGCCCUGUGCUGCUCUGCACGUGGACCGCACAGGAGCAUGCGCAGUGCAACCAGGACGGGCAUGCCCAGUGCAACCAACCAGUACGAGCAUGCGCAGUGCAACCAGGACGGUGCUUGCGGACGGGAGUCCCUGUUAGACGCGUGCGCGGCUGUGGAACGCGAGGCCAUUCGCGUCUGGGAAAGCGUGAAAACGUCAGGAAGCCAGGGACUCACCCUGCUCCCAGGCGGCCUGGUUUCAGGAGUCACCCUGGUGGCACGAGUCACCGCCACCCAGAGAGGCACAGGUUGGAAGACCUUGUGCUCGGGUGAGCACGCUGGCUGCGCGCAGGUGUGUUUGGUGCAGUGUCCAGGGCAACCGUGGCUCAGCCACCUUUAGGUUAGGGUCUCCGUGGUAACGAAAUGGAGGGCAACAAGUGCAGCACACAGGGCUGUUCAGUCUCACGCACAAGCCGGGCUGGAUCCCGCUGGGUUUGUCGUUUUGAGGCAGGGUCUCGCUGUGCAGUGCAGGCUGGCCUUGAGCUCAUUCUUGUAGCCGAGGCCGGUCUGAACUCACGACGGCCCUCCUGCCUCAGCCUCCCAAGCCUGGGAUUACAGGCAUGCGCCCCCACGCCCAGCUUCCGCGAGUGUUUGCCCGCGCCGACUCAGCCUCAUUCACCUUCGGACAUGGCUGCCCAGCCAGCCCCUCCGUGCCCAGGAGUGAGCCCCAGCUCUGUGGGGAGCUGUCCUCUGUGGAAACCAACUUAUCCUCUUCUAUUUCGAGGUUACUUGAAACCUUUUAAGGGGACAGUCUGCCAGGUGUGGUGGCGAAAGGCUGUAAUCUCAGCCCUCAGAAGGCCGAAGCAGGAGGAUUGCUG